ACCCUAACUCCACCAAUUUCCUCAACGGAUAUGGAAUCUACAUAUCCCAAGUCAUCUGGGUUUGGUUGGCUAAGUUUCAAAAGAGCAACAGCACCCGUGGUACGGCAAAAUCGUCUCAAUUCAAACUUUGAGCUAAUCUUCAAAACCAUGAGUUUGUAACGUUCACAAAAAUGCAAAGCCAUUUCUCCAACAGCUGCUCCACUAACAAUUACUUUGGCACCAGAAUCUGCAACAGCUUUAAUGAGCUCCUCAACUUUAGCUUCUUCAGUUUUGGCAUAAUUCUCUAGCUGCUCAGCAGAGUGAAUUAGAACAGUUCCUUUGGUUUCAGUUGCCGAGGUAUCAACACCACCAGCAAACACAGCAACCUUUGCCUUCUCAACUCUCUUUAUAGUACCCACAGCAUCACCUUUCAAUACCAUUCCAUGAACUAUUGUACAAUCAUGCAAACCUCCUCCCACAAGCUUUGCAACACGGACAUUAUCCACAUUAAAGUUUGCUGGGUUCUUGGGACAUACUUGCAUGCAUGCAUCUGCUAUAAGAUUACUUAAAAUAUCUUCUUGUCCAAAUUGCUUGCUAGCAACAGCUGCCUUCAUCCGAGAUAUGACCUGCUCUUUAUUCCUCACAUCCAUUGUUUCAGAACCUUUCUCCACCAGUUCAUCCAAGAUUUCAAUUGUCUUGUUGAUUCCUUUGCUGUAUCCGCUGAUGAUCUCACUCGGGUGCAGGCCCAUCCUGAUAAGCUCCUCUGCAUUUUGAAGGAGCUCACCAGCAAAAGAAAUAGUCAAGUUAGCUCCAUCACCAAUUUUCUCUUGUUGAGCCUUGCCAGCUAAGACCAAAAUUUUGGCAGCAGGAUGCUGAACCUCAAGUUCAUUGACAAUAGUGGCAGCAUCAUUGGUGACAAAAAGCUUGUCCAAAUGAUUAAU
rnacentral:misc_RNA from 1 species